CUAGCUGUAAACGAUGGAUACUAGGCGUUGAGAGUAUCGACCCUCUCAGUGUCGUAGCUAACGCGUUAAGUAUCCCGCCUGGGGAGUACGCGCGCAAGCGUGAAACUCAAAGGAAUUGACGGGGGCCCGCACAAGCGGUGGAGUAUGUGGUUUAAUUCGAUGCAACGCGAAGAAUCUUACCAGGGCUUGACAUGUCCGGAACCCUGCCCAAAGGCGGGGGUGCCUACGGGAACCGGAACACAGGUGGUGC
rnacentral:rRNA from 1 species